AACGAACGCUGGCGGCAGGCUUAACACAUGCAAGUCGAACGCCCCGCAAGGGGAGUGGCAGACGGGUGAGUAACGCGUGAGAAUCUACCUAGUUCUACGGAACAACAGUUGGAAACGCCUGCUAAUACCGUAUACGCCCUACGGGGGAAAGAUUUAUCGGAAUUAGAUGAGCCCGCGUAAGAUUAGCUAGUUGGUGAGGUAAUGGCUCACCAAGGCGACGAUCUUUAGCUGGUCUGAGAGGACGAUCAGCCACACUGGGACUGAGACACGGCCCAGACUCCUACGGGAGGCAGCAGUGGGGAGUAUUGGACAAUGGGCGCAAGCCUGAUCCAGCCAUGCCGCGUGAGUGAUGAAGGCCUUAGGGUUGUAAAGCUCUUUCACCGAUGAAGAUAAUGACGGUAGUCGGAGAAGAAGCCCCGGCUAACUUCGUGCCAGCCGCCGCAGUAAUAC
rnacentral:rRNA from 1 species